GUUUUUUUUAUUUGCAUUGUCCAAUUCUUUGGGUGACAAGAAAGAGUUAACAGUUUUAUUUUGCCAAAAGUUAAAGAUCCGCGAUAGAUUACGAGAUGUAAAUAAAUCCACGUGCUCUAUGGCGGAUGAUUUGAUUAGGCACUAAUAAGCCGGUAUUAGAACUCGUCUCUCAAUUCCAUGGAGGCAGCGAGAAUAUCUGAUUCUGGCAGCCAUUUGAAGUGCAAAGAUUGCAUUGUGCAUGGGCCAGCCAAGCCUUCUGGUAUGAUGCAAUACUAAACACAGACAGAUCCACUGAGGACACUGAAGGACUACAGUGAUGUUUCCAAAACAAAAUGACAGCCUCCAUCCCUUCCAAAUAGAAAAGAAAAGACAGUUACUGAGCCCUGCAGAGUGGUGUUUCAACUAUUCAGUACCUCAAAAUGCUGCAAACUACUCCUCUUUAUGAAAGGUUUUAAACAUUAUUCUGCAGGUUAACAAUAUGGCUGACAUAUAUAUUUAUUUUCUUGCCCCUGAUUCUUACUGGCCAAUGACAUUCUCACCUCCCUGGGGAGGAUAUAGCUCAGCUGCUGUACACACAUAUGGGGUGCUGAAAGCUGGCAUAUCAUCAAUAUCUUUUAAUGCCAGACAGGUAGCUUUACCUCUGCCUCAACCUGUAAGUGCUGAUAGCCAAAUGGGGUGACAGCAGGUGUCAUUUAUAAAGAACUGGUAAGUCAAGACGUGGCAUAAGUUUUGACCACUCAGUCACAUAUGCAAACAGUGACAGUGACAUCAGUUUAGUGAAUAUCCAGAUAUAGAUAACAUCCACAUGUUAUUUUCAGUACCACUUGUCCAGAGAAUACUGUUGCCAUACUCACUGGAGGUGCCAAGGUUGUUUGGGGGUUGCAGGUGAAUGCCAGUGCUGCAAGUGCCAUCAGCAUUUGUCUGAUCACAAGGCUGGGCUCCUGGUUCUGAUGAUAGAAAGCAAGACAGAAAGAACAGCGUCCACAAAUGUGAUGAUUAUGAUUAGCUACAUGGAGCAGGUUGUUACUGGUGAUGUACAGUGCUGUUUUUCCUUUUUUCUGACAUGGUGUGUACUGUGAAGUGAAGCGUUGAACAGGUGUAUGGACCAAAAUGGUAUUUUCACCAGUUUUUAUUUCUGAUGAAAAUCCCAAAUUUAAUAAAAGCAGAAAACUCAAAUUCUAAUUAUAGUAGAGCUAGGUGCCUAAUGUGGUAUCUUAGAGCUUUUUUGCUGAAAUUUUAAAUGCUUCAAACAUAUUCAAAUGGACCUAGUUAUUAGAAAUGUGGUUAGACUUAAUUUUUUUCUGUUAUAUCAAUCUAUAUAAAAAAUUACUGGCUGAGAUGAAGUUAAAGUGCAAGUGAGUGUUUAUAUAUAAAGAAUGACAAAAAUGUUAGCUUUCCUGAGAAAAUCAGCCAGUUUUAUAAUAUGUGAUUUGAAUUUUUUUAAGCCAUAGAUACGAUCGCACAAUACUGAUGACAGAUGCAGAAGUGAUUCAAGAGUAAAGAGAGAUGGAGAAAGAAAGAGAAGAAGGAGAAAGAUCAUCAGCAUUUUCUACUACUUAAGGGAGAAAAAUGCAAGCAACCUGAUCCAAGCUAAAGCAAUGCAAGCAUACAUCUACUAGUACCUGUAAAUGAACGUCCAAAUUUGUUGAAACUUCACAGAAGUAGAUGCCGGCAUCAUCCACAGAUACCCUGUUAAUCUUGAGGGAACAUGUGGU